UAAUCUAAUGAUAUUCAAUAAUAAUAGCUAUUAAUGAUUAUAUUUUUAAUAGAUUAAAAGAACAUAAAAAAUAAGUAACAAAUUCAACUGCUGCAAGACUAUAAAGGAUAAGAGUAAAAUAAGAUAAUAAUAAAAAUGGAAAGCGAUGAAUAGAGUGCAGUUUGUGUUAAGAGUAAUGGCUGUGUAGAGUAUAAAAUAGUUAGUGCAAUUCAAUAAUACAGUACAGGAAGAGUGGAAAUUUAAAAUAAUUGUAUUACGGAACAGAUUUUCAGCUUCUUUUAUGUUUGGUUUCAGAUUGAUAUGAUUCCUUAAAUGUAACUUUUCUGAAUUUACAAAAUUGUAUACAUUUUAAUGUAUUAAAUAAAAAAUUACUAAAAACAAAUAAUCAAAAGCAAACGACUGACAAUGGUUAGAGAUUUCAACCGCGAUAAAAAACAUCGGUACGUCGUAAGGAAGAUUGAAAUGAAAAGGUGAUUUAAUAAUAUACAUAUUGAACAUCGAUUGGCUUGCACUAUUCAGGUUUAUACCAUAGGAACGAUACCGAUAUUUUGGCGGUACACUAUCUGACAUCAAACAAACAAUUUGAAUAUUAGUAUUUAUAAUACAACACGAUUCUUUUUACAUUAGAAACUUUAGUUAUCAUCCUCACCGGUACGGAUUCCGAUACUGAAUAAAUAGAAGUUUUCCUUGAUGAUAACUAAUAACAUAAGAAAGAUAGUUGAAAAGUGCACCGGAAAGUGUGAAUUGAUUGGUCAUAGAGUUCAUUGCAUUUCAGGCCAUUAUAGAUAUACCUUAGCGCCUUGUUGGCUGCUGGAUUUGUUGCGUACACUCAGGCUCCUGCGAUGACGUUUCUAAAAAACAAUUCAUACGCAUACCCAGAUAGUCUAUCAGUCGCAAGAACAUUUCAGUACCUCUAAAAGUGAUCGAUAUGUUAUAUUUUAUUCAAUACGCAAUUACCCUCCUAAACAAGAUAUUUAAAUAUACAUAUUUACUAUUACAUGUGCAAGAAAUCACAUACAAUAAUGUAACAUUGUAAUUUUAACUAAUAUGUAUACUCUUUGAACAUAUAAUCACAGGUGAACCUAUAAUGCUUCAAGUUUCAUUUAGGGUACUUAGAAAAAUGUAAUGCAGGCACAUAAACAUAUUUAGAAUUAUAUGAAUAGAACCUACAUGCGUAUACGUUUUCAUAGAAUCUUUCAAACUACAGUUCAAAACCAGCAACCACGUGUACAACCAACUGUGCUACUGAAAACUAUUUUUAUGAAUGAAAUGUAUUCUAAGUAAACGUUAUUGCAAUUAUACUGAUGUAUACUUAAAUAUUUGGGUCCAAUUUGAUUUUCAUAACUAUUUUGUUUAUUUACACAUCUUCAUUGAUUUGUAUCAUGAAUGGACAAAAUUCGAGUACAUUAUUUCAACAUAACAAAGCCGUGAUUACCGCUAUGUUCAAAAAUAAAUUGAUAAUUGCAGCAUGGAAUGUGUAAUGAUGAACUUUUGUGCAAUGCAGUGACAGCCCAUAUUGAUUAAUACGAAUCACCGCACUCUAUCAUCUUCAUAGCAAUUUUAUUUACUCUUUUAUUAAAACCAAAAAAAAGAAGUCAUUACCUCGACGUCUGGGCCAGUUGGAACGCCGUGCUCUGAAUCGCUAUCUUCCUUCUCAUCUUCAAGAGCGAUCAAAUGUUCUUCUUGAGUUUGAGGCAUCAAUUGUAAUUCCUCACGACUUUUGAAUUCCAAACGCGUGAUGUAAAAAGGACAAACUAAUCCAAACCACCCAUCCACAGAUCCGCUAAAAUGAUCUGACUACAAGGAUGUGCCAAAAGUGGACGAUGAUUAGCAGUGACUGCUAACGAAAGACACGUCUGACCGGACCAGUUUUGAAGUUCAGAAGUUAAUAAUUGUUGAGUCUGAUCGUCAUCCUGGCGGUAACAAUAAUCUAGCAAUUCCAAGGCUGCCAAAAGAAGAAAUAAGACUUCGUAGUUCGUCGUAGACUUCCGUUUCAAGAUCGUCUUCAGCAGCUUCAUGUGCCAUCGCUUUGUAUAACUUAAGGGCGACAAGUGCUUUCGCUAGAGCUUCCUCACCAUGUUGCCACAUCAGUAAA